rnacentral:ncRNA from 2 species
GUGUUACAAUAAGUAAAUAGAAUGACAAUUAGGACAAAUAGGAUUAAAAAGGAAUCCGGUUUAAAUCCGGAGCGGUCCCGCCACUGUAAAAGGGAGUUUCCUUGUAUAUACACCGGUUGAUGCCGGGAAGGCGCAAGGCAAAUGAUGAUCUUGAGUCAGGAUACUUUUUAUUUCUAUGCCUGCCUG